AUGAAUCCCUUUUACUUUUCAGUGUCUUUUGAGCAACCACCAGGCUUGAAGGCUACAAGAGACGAGAAAUAUUCUCUUUUGAAUAUAGCCAGAGGAAAAAAGGAUGGAGAAAAAACUAAGAGAGGUAAUUUUGAAAAGAGAUUUAAUGUCAUGUUCAGUCCAGAUAGAUAAGAAAUUCUUUUCCCUGAAUAAAUCAGUGGGGGGCUCGUUGAAGCUGCACAUUCUGAUUUCGCCGUCCUGAGAUUCUUCAUUUCAAAUAAGUUCGUGGGUGAUGCUGUUGCUGCUGGUCUGGAACAUGAUCUUCGCAGUAAGAUUAUACACUUCCCCACAUUGAAAUUGGGAAGAAGAAAUAUGGAGAGCAGUUCAAGGCAUAAGGGGCUCUGGGGAACAACAUAAUUUUGCUUUAAUUCUCCAGCUUGUUUUCAGUAAGGGUGGAAGGAGAAAGAGAGGAAGUAUA
rnacentral:lncRNA from 1 species